UACAGAGGUGGCAAGCGUUGUUCGGAAUUACUGGGCGUAAAGGGCGCGUAGGCGGCCUACUAAGUCAGACGUGAAAUCCCCCGGCUUAACCUGGGAACUGCGUCUGAUACUGGAAGGCUUGAGGAUGGGAGAGGGAUGUAGAAUUCCAGGUGUAGCGGUGAAAUGCGUAGAUAUCUGGAGGAAUACCGGUGGCGAAGGCGGCAUCCUGGACCAUUACUGACGCUGAGGAGCGAAAGCAUGGGGAGCGAGCAGG
rnacentral:rRNA from 1 species